ACAUGCCUACAACAUAGAGUUAAUGCAAUAGAUCCCAUUAUAAAUUUGUAGUUAAACAUGCUUGGACUAGAUUAGUAUUGAGAUGGGUGACCACCCAGGAAGUCCUAGUGUUUUACAUGUC
rfam:Picea glauca, whole genome shotgun sequence.